CACCUGACCACUGAGAGCCAUGGUACUGGCAAACACGAUGGCCGGAAGGGAUGCUACCGCCUAUUGCCUACCGCCUGACCGUUGCCAUCCCUCCUCACGGGGCUGGGGCUGGGAUUCUUUGCGGUGAGGCAAAGGGCGCGAGCGCGGGCACUUGUGUUUUGGCCCUCCGGGCUGUCGUAGCGCGAGGGGCGCCGUGGGAACGGCGUCGGUGCGCAUGCGCGCCUGGUGGUUGCCUAGGUUACUAAAGCCAGCGGGCGCUAAGCGGGGUUUUAGAAGGUUUAGAGUGUUUGAAGCAGGGGGAGUUGCUUGGAAAACAGCGGAUAAAGCCAAGGGACGGCUAGGAUUUCACUGGUGAGCAAGAACCGGUGUGACAGCAGGAGGACAGCUCUACUGCGGGGAGGAGUGACUUUCGUCUCACUUCCAGGAUAACGAACGGGAAAGACGCCCGGAAACAGGUUGGGGUAAACCGGUAUCAUGUAGGAGGAAGGCGAAGCUAUUUUGGAUCUUUCCCGGGAGAUCCUGGAACCUGGACGGGUGUCAUUUCCACAGCGGCGUCGCUCUGACCACCUCCGCCCUCCUUUCGCCGUGUGCAGGAUGGAGGCGUGGGACUCUAGUUUCCCCGAGUGCCCUUUCUGUGCCAGGAUCCCGCGACCCUGUUCGAACACACAAGCUGGGAAACUGAAGAUUCGAGUUGGAAUUUAGUGGAACUGGCAGAUGCCAGCCCCUCUCCACCACGCGGUUAGGAGGCCGCAGUGAUAUGUUGUACUUUAUUUGGAAUAUUGGGCUUUAAACAGCAUCCUGGGAGAAGUAGUGUUGCCUUUGGUGCAGAUCUAAGUGGAGCACUAAACUUUGGAGGGGUUGACAGAGAUUCACAGAAAGGCUUGUAACAGAGCCUGAGGAGGAGUUGGUAAGGUCACCACAAAAACCUUACAUGAACGAGGAGUUGCUGUUAAUCCUCCGCGAGUCUGAUUUUCCGAGUGUGUCUGCGUGGUGUGCAAGAGUGGAAGAGCAUGAUUCUAACUGCGAGACUGAGCCCAAGCCACCGUUUGCAGGACAGAAGCUGGCCAAAGCACGCAGACUCCUACAAGUCUAGGAAAUAAUGUUUGGGGUGGAAUUCAUGAAAAAUCGGAUCCGUUCCGCCAGUGCAUGGAGCCUGAUCAUCACCUCGUUUCUUUGUGGCACACAUCCAUUGGAGCUGCUUUUUAGAAAUACAGGAUGGAGAUUCAGUGGGUUGUCCUCUGGCCACACAGCAUCCCUUAUGAGAGCCUUGGGCUCCUGGGCUCGUUCACUCAGUACCUAGUGGACCAUCAUCACACCCUCCUGCACAACAGAGAUACGAUUGGACUAUAUGUUUAACUUAUGAGGGAAGGUGACAUGCCAGGUGGCCCUGGCCAGGGGAAAGGGCCUGUGGGACGUACGAGCAACUACCAAACAGGACAUCCAGUUACCACCUGACAGGAGAUGGAAACAGCACGGGGUAAGCGCAGCACCCGGGCCACUCUCUGCAUCUGGGUGUCUUCCUGCCAAACAGAGAAACCAUGAAGUAAUGAUGGUGGAUGUGGGAGUCUUAGAGGCUGGAUAUAGAGCCAAAGGGAGUCCUGCAAAGAAAAAGGUCAGCAGGCCAGCUCGGUCAAUGUCAGGAGAGGGGCUACCUGGCCAGAGGCGCGCCUCUCCAACAGCUGAUGAUGGGCCAUGCAGGCGACCCCUGUAUCUCACCACCAUCUUACACUGUUGAAUUUGCCACCUCCUUAGGCUACCCACAAGCCUCUAGAAACACUAAGCUGAGCUCAAAGGCUUGCACUCGUCCUGGUAGAGCCUUCCUGAUCACCCAGGGGCCGACCCAGGCCAGAACGUGAGCAAUGUCCCCUGUCCCACAGCUGUGUCAACUCUGGGACCCUGAGACUGAUUUGGGGGGAAAAAUGAAAGCAAUACACCUUCUCCCACCAGCUCAAGACGGCUCAGAAAUGCCAUCACCCAUUGCUGAAGGAAGGAUCCAGACACAGGCAGGCUCAGAGGUCUCAGACCUGAGAUUCAGAUGGAUAAGGCAGCCACAGCCCCUCAACCCAUGCAGGGUUCACUUUAAGCUAAGACUCCAGAGUAAGAUUUUAUAGGAAAAAAAGGACUCCUCUGGACACAUGGUUGGAAAGCCAGAGUCCUAAUUCAUUAGGAACCAUUUUAAGUCAAGUCUAGAGGCCAAGAGAGAAGCAUCGGGAUGGGUGUUGAACCCAAGCCUGUGAAUGCCAGAUCUGUUUCUCCUCCACUACUUUUCUGAAGAAACCAGGAGCAGACAGGGAGCCAAGAGAGAAGGUGGAAUUGCACUGCCCACCUGAGGCUUCCAGGCAAGAGCAUCUAAGAGAGGGUGUCCCAUCCUACUCACCCACCGCUAUUUAGCAGAAAUAGCAGAGCUAUUUCUCCAAUAUCCUCCCUUGGCCACCCACUGGUACUGCUCACUUGCUCCUGGCUUUGGAUAUUCCUGGUGGCAUCUCCUUGCAUAAUGUUAAAUGUACAAUGUCACAUUUCCCAGACUGGUGAAGAAAGGUUGUUUUAAAAAAUAUUUAUUUUUCUGUAUUUGAAAAGCAGAUAUACAACAGAGGCAGAGACAGAGACAGUCUUCCAUCCACUGGCUCAUCCCCAAAUGGAAGCAAUGACUGGUGCUGAGCCAGGCUGAAGCCAAGAGCCAGGAGCUUCUUGUGGGUCUCCCACAAGGAUGCAGUUGCCCUCCUCUGGUGUUUUCCCAGGCAUUUUAGCAGGGAGCAGGAUCAGAAGUGGAACAGCUAGGACUCAAACUCAGGGUCCACUCCAGUACACCGUAGGGUGGGAAGAUCCUGGGGAUGGGUGGCCGUAGCCAAGUCUUCUCAGCAACCACUUUCUACUGGAGGACCAGGAGCUGAGCUCCGGGGUUGCCCCACAGAUGUCCAUGGCUGAUGCUUUGAUAGGGCUCAGUGUGACUUUGGGACAUUGUAGGAAGGGCAUGCAAAGAGGAUGAUGUGCCCCCUACCCCCACCCAGACUCUCCUGUGGGUCUGGAUCACACAGUCUCUGUUGAGGAAACCAUCAGCAUGUCUGUGGCUGCUGUGAAUCCACUGUGGUGGCGAUUGGACAACCAGGCUCACCAAGCUAAGAGGGACCUCGGUGGAGAUGGAGAACUUAAAAAUACCUUCAAAAUUUCCUAUAGGAGUUGAUUUUGACCACAUCUCACCUGAGUCAGGUACACUAAGGUACACUUUGUCCACCAAGAAAUUCUGCAGUACAACCACCCUGCCAGCAGAAUUCACAGAGGAACAUGCAAAGACCUUAAAGGGGAGGCACAGAGCUGAGCAGGGACUGCCCCAACCCCUUAGCAGGCUCCCCAUUGCAGCUGCCCGGACACACGUCACCCUGCUGUUCCUGAUUCUGGCUCCCUGCUGGAAGUAUUGCACUGUGCCGCACUGCACAGUGGGCCCCUUGGAGCCUCCACACACCAGACAGAGUGAAGGUCUGUAGUAGCCAGACGCAAAGUCCCAGUUCCCACCAGAAACAAUUCUUGGGCUUUUCUCUGCACAGUUUCAGAUGCAAGGUGCUAGGGCCAGAGACUCAGUGCCUGCUGCCUCAGGUUGUCACUGGGUGGUGCCUGACAACUCAAGUGACCAGGACAGGACCUGACACACUUGCACACUUCCGGUCCCCAGUCCUGCUUUGAAAGAGGUCGCAGGAAAUGACUGGCUGGCUUUCCAGGGUUCUGUGCAUAAGGAGCAACUGUGUAUUGAGAAGGCCCCAAACUACAGGACAAAUAUGGCCGCAUGCCCACCCCUCCAGCUUGGAGUGGACACCUCUCAUCAAGUCCUAGAGCAGCUCCCCUGCCCCUCCAUAUAUCAGACAAAAGGGGUUCAUUUGCCUGGGGAGUCAACAAAUGAUUGGUCUCCCACGACAAUUCAAAGGACAGCUUUAUUGUGACAAGGAGAUUGGAAAGUACAGCUCCCUAAAACUACUGCCUCUGUGAGAAGCCAUUUUUGAGGGAUUGUAGAGUGAGGGCGUGGCUGGGAUAGAGGAAAAAGAGAAGCAAGAGGGCCCUACCUGCUCAAGCAACCCACAGCAGCACGCAUCGUGUGUUCAAAACCCAACUCCUGCUGGGCUCUUGCAGCUCUCCUUGCUGUGAGGCCCAAUCCCUGGGGGUACAGCAUUGCAAGAUCACUCUUCUUAGAAUAUUCUUGGGAAAACAAGCCAAGAGAAUAAAUUGUUAGAUGCUGUGCCCCUGCCCAUGCCCCUGCCUGUUGUCUAAAUCCUACUGUCUGAGUUACAGAAUUUUUUUUAAAGCUGUAUUUAUUUGAAAGGCAGAAUGACAGAGAGACAGACAGGCAGACAGAGUCUUCCAUCCACUGGUUCACUCCCCCAAAAGGCCGCAACAGCUGGAGCUAUACCAGGAGGAGGAGCUUCUUUCGGGUCUCACACAUAGGUGUAGGGGCCCAAGGACUUGGACCAUCUUCCACGACUCUCCCAGGUGCAUUAGCUGGGAGCUAGAUCAGAAGUGGAACAGUUGAGACUUGAACGGGCAACCAUAUAGGAUGGCGGCUUUACCCGCUGCACCAGAGCACCAGCACCUGUAGAGAUCUUUUUUUUUAAUAUUUAUUUUUUAUUUGAAAGUCAGAGUUUCACAGAGAGAGAGAGAGAGAGAGAGAGGGGACUUCCAUCUGGUGGUUCACUCCCCAGUUGGCUGCAAUGGCCUGAACUGUGCUGAUCCAAAGCUGGGAGGCAGGAGUUUCUUCUGGGUCUGCCACACAGGUGCAGGGGCUCAAGGACAAGGGCCAUCUUCUGCUUUCCCAGGCCAUAGCAGAGAGCUGGAUUGGAAGCAGAGCACCAGGUUUCAUACCGGUGCCCAUAUGGGAUGCCAGUGCUCAGGCCAGAGUGUUAACCCGCUGUGCCACAGUGCCGGCCUGGGAAGUAAUGUUUUUUCACAUUUCCCUACUGGGAGGCAGCAACAUACACUGCUCAAGACCAGGGACCGCACCCAUGGUGAAAUUUAAAGGACUCCAUGCAAUCUGGGUUUUUCUCCAAACUUUUCUUCCAAGGGACAAAUAGCUGGCAAUAAAACACCAAGAUUAGAAGAUGCGAGUCUAAAACUUGAAAAUGACACAUUUUACAUACACAAAUACUCUAGGAAUGAAAGCCCUAAUGGUACUUCAGAUGAUUUAUAGCAGUAAAUUUAAAACCCUAGAUGAAA